rnacentral:lncRNA from 1 species
GUGGGUGAUGCGUUAAUUCAGGGAACCCGGGUUCGAAUCCUCCUGAAAACCAAAUGACAAAUAUUUUUUUUAAAUAAAAUGACGUCGUUUUCGGUUUAAUUUCCACGUAUUAACCUUAUAAAUCAACGUAAUCAUCCGUUAAGUCCACGUAAAACUCCGUCAAUAUUUGACUAACGGAGACACGGUCAAUGUAUGAAUUUAUCGAAAAGUGUUGGUUGGCUUAUGAAAUUUAAAUAUAAUUUGAGUUGUUGAUGUCUGUUUUAGCACAGGGUGUGAGUGUAUGUACUGAUCGGGACCGCGAC